ensembl:lncRNA
ACUACCAGGGUUGCCUUUGGGUCCAGUUGAAGGAUGCAGUUGGAAAAGUGGCUCAUAUGGGCUGGGUGAGGUUGUACAGGAAACUGGGCAGGACUGUCAGGUUAGCUACAUGCCUGUGAGAGCAUGAACAAGGAAAUUCAAAAGGGAUGCUUAUUUCAAAUAAUGAGCAACAGAACCAGAAUUCCUGACCUACAGAGCAGCUUGUUAUUAUUGUUGACAAUCCAUUAUACUGAUAGUGCUGGAAUACAGGUACUUUAGAAAAUAAGUUACAAAUUCACCUAGAAACACAAGUUGAUAUUGCCUCUAUCACUGAAGUGAAGUGAAGUUUAUUCCUACAGCAACAAGUGGCAAAAAAGAAGGUUGCCAUGCUGUGCAGUGGGGCAAUGAAUAAAACAACCAAGUGCGAACUAGCUGAUGAUACUGUCAGUGUACUGGAUAGCAGGUUGCUUUGGAAAGAGAAAUGAGAACACUCUGCUUGAGCAACACAAGGUAUGGUGUGAGCAAUGUAGUCCUAAGAACAGGCCAAAUCUUAGGCUAGUAUGUGCUGCUUUCUUGAUGGGACCUUCUUUUGUCUGAAUGAUACUCAGCUGCUGAGAAUCAGAGCUUGAAAAGCAGUACUUGUAAGUGCACCAAAAGUCAGGAAGAAUAGAAACAGAUCCUCCUGAGAAAUGGGCUCCUCCUUGCUGUCUUCUUCAAAGAGCUGACUCCUGUUUUGCUGAUUCAGAGAAAUAUUUAGAUAUGUAUCUUUAAUAAAAGCAUUAAUGUAAUUAAUUACAUAGGUGUCAUAUAUAAGUUUCAAUUUCUGCUCAACUUGCUCUUUCAGUAAGCCGCUCAAACUUUGUCCUUACUGCAUCAUCUGUAAAGAUGUCCAUUAAAAGGCUCCAUUGGUUUUGGAGGUUUUUCCUUCCGAACAUUGCAUAUUUUCUCAACUACAGAUUAUGACAGUCAUGAGGCGUUCCUCCUUCACUAACAAAUUAUAUUUUCACUUUCAAAUUCUUCACUAAACUGUACACUGCACAUCCUUUAUGAGUGUUGUGGUUGUGUGAUUUUUGUUGUCGGUAUUCCACAUCAGAACAUCAUGUAAAACAGUGGGAGUUAAAGAGUUAAUGUUCUGGUUCUGUAGACUGCCUUUUUUGGGCAUUUUGGGUCUUCGGAGGGGAGGGGAGGAGCGGCAUUCCCGGAGGACCUGGUGUGCAGAGGAAGGAAGGUGGAGCUCCUGGUGGGACUCGAGGCGCUCCGUGUCUCGUGCUUUGCCGUGGAGAGAAGCAUGUGCUUCCCCUGCAGUCUGCUAGUGUAAGACUACUUGUCUACUAUCUCGUACUUUGGAUACUCUUGUCUCUCUCAUUUUGUUUGAUUUUGUUGGAUGUAGUAGAUUACUGUUCCUCCUCAGAUUGUUGCCGUUGUUUUGUUGUUGUUGUUGUUAGACCCAUCUGCUAUCUUCCUACCCUUCCCGUUCUCCCCCUUUCACGGAGCUCACAGCCCCUCACAGGGCCAGCCAUGCUGAAAAAUAAGGGAAGGUGUUUUUUUUUUUUCCCCUCUCUCUUUUUUGUCUUUUUUUCUUUUUUUUCCCCUGGGCUUUUUGCCCCUUAUCACGUACUCAGAUCUAGAGAUAACUCCAUGACAAUUAUUGGUGGAGAAUGUGGGCAGCUAUGGAUCUCUACUUCAUUUUAAGAGCAUUGUAUAGAGGACUAAGGACCGUUAUGUUCCUUGCAACAUAUUGGUUUCUUUUUAA